UCUAAGAACUGAAACUAUAAUUUAAAAUUAAUAUAAAAUAAUAUAUGGUCCCAACAUUAUUAAUUUAUGGUGGUUUUACUGUAGUUU
rnacentral:sRNA from 1 species